GAUGAACGCUGGCGGCGUGCCUAAUACAUGCAAGUCGAGCGAACAGACGAGGAGCUUGCUCCUCUGACGUUAGCGGCGGACGGGUGAGUAACACGUGGAUAACCUACCUAUAAGACUGGGAUAACUUCGGGAAACCGGAGCUAAUACCGGAUAACAUGUUGAACCGCAUGGUUCAACAGUGAAAGACGGUUUUGCUGUCACUUAUAGAUGGAUCCGCGUCGCAUUAGCUAGUUGGUAAGGUAACGGCUUACCAAGGCAACGAUGCGUAGCCGACCUGAGAGGGUGAUCGGCCACACUGGAACUGAGACACGGUCCAGUCUCCUACGGGAGGCAGCAGUAGGGAAUCUUCCGCAAUGGGCGAAAGCCUGACGGAGCAACGCCGCGUGAGUGAAGAAGGUCUUCGGAUCGUAAAACUCUGUUAUUAGGGAAGAACAAAUGUGUAAGUAACUAUGCACGUCUUGACGGUACCUAAGCAGAAAGCCACGGCUAACUACGU
rnacentral:rRNA from 1 species